CCGCCUUCUGGCCUCCCACCCCUCCCGACCCUGUUUCAAAGAAGCAACACUUUGGGGCAGUCAUCUGUUUACUUUCUGGACUCAAGAUUUGCUAAAAUGUAUUUCGAUGGACAAAGCAACGCAGAGUAAAAGAACAGAGACUGGCAGGCUGCAUGGACUACUGGCACCGAUCUUCCUUGAGGAAGUUUUGAGAUCCUUGCUGGAUGUACCUGUCUGAAGUGCCAAUGCCCAGAGGCCCCCAACCAAGAUCAGAGCUCCAUUACGCUAGGCGCUGUUCGUACAUGUGGUGAGAGACAGUCCCGGCUCCAAACACAGAGGAAGUGACUUCUCUGGGUGUGGCAGAACCAAAACCAGACCCCAUUGUGGGGUAAAGCCUCCCGAAUCCUGGUCCAGCUGCCACACUCGCACUGAAUGGGCAAGACUGUCUUCUGCAGUGGGCCUUCGCUUCAAGUGGAAAUGCUAACAAUGAAACAAUAGCUGACGGGAUACUCUUUAACUGCCUCUUUUACUCCUCCCUUCACCCCGCCUCCUGCCGCCACCCAGGCAUGGUGAACCCAAGGAAACUGUCAAAACACCUUGGAGAGUCAUUGAAUUUGAUCUGAUUUUAUCUUUCUGUGAUGCCACUGUGUUACAUAUAUCAAGACAGGUUUCAGAGUAGCAGCUGUGUUAGUCUGCAUUCGCAA